rnacentral:sRNA from 1 species
CUGGUGUUAAGUGGCUACUGGAGCCCAUA